rnacentral:lncRNA from 1 species
UUCUAUAUUCUUAUUGCCCAAAAAUGAACAGAAUAUUUACAUUAAACAGUAAAGUCCUAAGCAAGAUGGCUGCAUUACUGCGCGAAAUAGUGGCAUCCUGGUAAAAUGACGCAAACCAUAGUUUACGUUCAGUGAAGUGGUAAUACGGUUUCCAUCCACACGCUGUAGCGCCAGCUCCCGCCUGACUGUCUGCGUAAAGCUCGGCGAAUCUCAAGUGGACCGAGAGGAAUUGGUUCAGUAAACGUUCUCUUUUGUUGUUCCUUGACUCGGGCUGUGAUUGCCUGGCGCUUUCCUUCCUGUGUCUUGGGGUUCGGCUCUCGGACAUGUCUCUGUUAGACAAAUCUGCAUGCGUCAGGAGAAAGGAGACUAUAGGGGAAAUGGAGUACUAUAGUAGGUGAGAGUGCGAUGAGGAGAGGAGCCAGAGAGUGAGGCGAUGGGCUGCACCUCUGCUAAGCAGGUGUCGGCCGUGCCCAGCGAUGAGGAGGGCCGGGGCAAGGCCUACAGCAACGGAGACCUCUUCACCGACGAGUACAAGAUGAAGGGAGUGGAGGAGGUGAAGUACAUGCGUGGAGAGGAGGACCGGGUGAACGCACGCAACCAGGAGAACCUGGUGAGAGAGGAGCGACCACACACACACACACACACACACGUAGUCUGACUGUUCAUCAACACACAGAAAACACACCGUCCUCUUUGACAUUCAAUCAACACAUGCAAACAGACAGCGUUUGUGCUAAAUGCACCCAUCCACAGAAGCCCCCCCCACCCAACACACACAGCCACGGUGCCUCCCGAGCAGGUAGAGACAACAUGUAGGCCUGUAUGGAAUGUGGGAGUUUCACUAAAGGCUGUUUUAACCCCUUCCUUCAUGGCCUAUAUUUUGUGAGCAAUAGCUACGAUUUAUUCUUUCCUACAAACAAUAAAAUAACCCGGGGAAAAAGUGCACACCCUUUUGGAUGAGGUAACGAUUGAAGGAAAGGAAUCAAAAGUCGAGAGGAAUGAAAGUCCUACCCAACUAUUGAUUGAUUUGUCAUUUCAGUGUCUCUCUAUUCCACCAUUGUUGUGAAUGUGCUGCCGUCGUCAUAGUCACAUUAGUUUCAACAUAUGCGACAGCUGGCUUAAAACAUGCAGCAGAACAAAUGUCAUUUUCAGAAGUGACUUUUACUCUUUUUAGAAAGCUUAACGGGAACUACUCACAGGGGACUGUUUCUCACAGACGCACAUUUUAAUCCUGCCGAGUCAAAGUGCACACACACCAACAAAUAGAUUUAUAUCCAUGAAAUGCCUGUAGUGAGCAUCCGCAGUAGCAGAGUGAUCUGACGGCUGUGGAGAAGGCAGCUCCUAGUUUAAAACAUGCUAGACCCUUGGCAUGCCGUGCUCCUCCAACGCACAGCCAGCACCUCUAAUGAUCCAGGCCUGUGAGGAGGUUUUUCCCCUGGUCAGUCCCUUUUAGCAUCCCAGCCAGCGUCUGGGUCCAGGCAAGAGCAGGGCAAACCAGGCUCUCAUGCAUGAGGCCUACAUCUACAUGGCAGCCUGUCUCUUCCCAGCACCAAGGCUCCAGCAGCAGGGGUAGGCAGCCUGUCUCUUCCCAGCACCAAGGCUCCUGCAGCAGGGGUAGGCAGCCUGUCUCUUCCCAGCACCAAGGCUCCAGCAGCAGGGGUAGGCAGCCUGUCUCUUCCCAGCACCAAGGCUCCAGCAGCAGGGGUAGGCAGCCUGUCUCUUCCCAGCACCAAGGCUCCAGCAGCAGGGGUAGGCAGCCUGUCUCUUCCCAGCACCAAGGCUCCAGCAGCAGGGGUAGGCAGCCUGUCUCUUCCCAGCACCAAGACUCCAGCAGCAGGGGUAGGCAGCCUGUCUCUUCCCAGCACCAAGACUCCAGCAGCAGGGGUAGGCAGCCUGUCUCUUCCCAGCACCAAGGCUCCAGCAGCAGGGGUAGGCAGCCUGUCUCUUCCCAGCACCAAGGCUCCAGCAGCAGGGGUAGGCAGCCUGUCUCUUCCCAGCCUUAGGGCCACAGCUGGGCCUGGUAACUCUUACCUCCCGCCACAGACCUGUCAGUCCCCUUAACCAUAAGGACACACAACACAGCAGGGGACGGAUGUUUCCAACCUUAGGGCCCUGGCUGGUAGGGCAGGGAGAUGUUCUCCCCCCAGGCCUGCUACAUGGGCAGAUUGGGGUUCGGGGGGCUCUGUGUAUAGUGUCGGGGGUCAGAACUAUGAGCUGAUCUGUGUGUUUCAGGAGAAGACCUCUUUACAGUACAGGGGGAAACCGCACAAAGAAGGCUCUGGAGCCAACGCCAACAGGACAAAUAUCCACACAUCAGAGAGCCAGCAGGAGUUCUUCAGGAUGUUGGAUGAGAAGAUUGAGAAGGGACUGGACUACUGUUCAGAGGAAGAAGAGGCAGAGGAUGGGACAUAGCAAACAAGGCCUGACUCAACCCCCUACAGAGAGCCUCCCAGAGUGUGUGCGAGUGCAUGUUCGUCUGAAUCAGUGUGUGUAUGUUCCACUGCCUUUGUAUGUGAUUCUGUAUGUGUCUGUGUGAGCAUGUAGGUUUUUGGUGUGUGAAAGAGCGAUGGAUAGCUAUUCUCAAAGACUGUUGCCCCCCUCUUGGCUGUCGUCCCAUUGGGCCCCUGAGUGGAUUACUGGAGGGAGAGACGAACGAGGAGACAUACAGACAGACAUGUGGACUCACUACCCUGCAGGACUAUGGAGAGAUGCACAUGGAGACAGACAAACGGACAUGUGGACUCACUGCCCUGCAGGACUAUGGAGAGACCCUCCCCUCUAUCCCAACUACCACCCCAGUGAACUGUACUGUGGUCCCUGGUCCAGCUUUGUGUAUACCACCCCCUCAUCACUACAACAUGGAGAAGGAGGACGGACAGAGGAAGAAUGAGCCUUACGGCAGUCUGGGAGACACCCUCCUGGCUUCCACCCUCCAUGGCCCUGACUACUGUGCUUUGCCUGUGAGGAGCAGAGAUGUGGAUAGAGAAAGAGGGGUGCUGGGGAGGGGGUGGUACUUCCAUAACCCCCAUCACAGAGGCUCGCUGCUGCAGUGGGCCAGAGAGGAUCCGAGAGAGGGAAGGGGUAGGGGGAGGGAGGGAGGGAGGGAAAGAAAAAUCUAGAUAUUUUAAUAAGAGAAAGAAGAGUCAGUGAGUGGCUUAUUUUGAAAUUCUGAACUCCUGCCUUUUUGAAGGACUUUUUUAUUAUGUUGAUCCAGUUCAUUAUUUUUGGUUUAUUUUAAUGUUUUUUUUUUUAAAUUAUUAUUAUUUGGCUUCUAUCAUAGUGCAUCACCUCCUGCAGGCUACAGCUCUAUAGGUCAGAGUUCCUGUGUCACUACACCUGUCCUCUUAAAUAUACCCUCAACGCUAAUAUACCAGACCCUGGCUAUGUGAAACACACUCCACUUCAUAUUCAUAGAUGCAGACACAGAAGUGCACACUCAUACUUUCAGAUACACACAGACAAAUGCAGAUAGACUCAUACACACACAUAUGCCAUUGUAUUCCUGUCGUUCUUUAGCCGCGUGUUAUGUAAGUAUGUUAAUAGGCUGUGAUGUUGAGGGUUUUGGGUGAAUGUUGGAACCAGCAGCUGUGGGUUUCUGCUGCUGGACUUCUUCAUGUUCACUUGUUGUGUUUAUUACUCUUUCCUCUGCAUUGGUAGCCCAGCCUCCACUUCUCUUCAACUCAGCAGUAUUGAUGCUUACUGGCAGCGUGGAGUCACCCUCUGUUGACACACACACACCCACACACCGCCUUUUCAUGGAAGUGAGAAGUGAGAUUUAAAGGAAAAGAGGUGUGGUUGCCUGGGAGACAAAGCCCUGAACGUUCUUCUGUCAUCAUUACUGGAUCGUUCCUUUUUCAUUUGAUUUUCAGUACUUUUUGUUUUUCUAUUAAAAAUAAAAACACAGGAGCUGUUCAUCUGCUGUGUGUAUCUAUCAGUGGUGGAAAAAGUACCCAAUUGUCAUACUUGAGUAAAAGUAAAGAUACCUUAAUAGAAAAUGACUCAAGUCAAAGUCACCCAGUAAAUUACUACUUGAGUAAAAGUCUAAAAGUAUUCGGUUUGAAAUAUACUUAAGUAUCAAAAGUAAAAGUAUGAAUAAUUAAAAAAUUACAAUUAUUAAGCAACCCAGACUGCACAGUUUUUUAUUUACAGAUAGCUAGGGGCACACUCCCAACAGUCAGACAUCAUUUACAAACGAUGCAUUUGUUUAGUGAGUCCGCCAGAUCAGAGGCAGUAGGGAUGACCAGGGAGGUUCUGUUGACAAGUGUGAAUUUUACAAUUUUCUGUCCUGCUAAGCAUCCCAAAUGUAAGAAAUACUUUUGGGUGUCAGGGGAAAAUGUAAGGAGUAAAAAGUACAUUAUUUCCUUCAGGAAUGUAGUGAAG